UAUAAUUAAGUGUUGAGGCACGUCAAUUUUUGAGGUUGAAAGUAGUAAGUUAUUUUUAUUAAUUAUAA
rnacentral:tRNA from 1 species